CCCAGGGAUGCCAUGGGGACAGCUUCCACCAUUGCCCAAGUAUUGUGGCGGAAACACGGUGCCAAUAAUAAGUCUUACCAUUUUUAAAAAGAGAAGAAAAAGGCAUGGAAUUGUAAUUGACAUACAAAAGAAAACUGUCCAGUAGUUAACAUCAUUCUUCCAGUAAUGUAAAUUUCCUAAUAAGAAACAUCAACAUAAAAUUAUAGAAAUACAGACUUACUCUUGGCCAAACGGACAGCAGCAUUGACACCUCUUAUCUCUACAAGACUUCUCACUGCAGACACUAUUUAUCCCCGAGCAGACGGCGCGGGUACUAAUUCCCCCCGGCCAUUUACACCCGGGGAAACGAAAGCAUUAGCGAAGUCUAAAGUUCAUCAAUGAUCGCGGGCGCUCACCAACGGUGUUGAGUGAGUGGUCAUCACUGAUCUCAAAAUAUGGCUGUUUGUCAGGAGUGAAGAAGUUUCACAUAACAAAUUGUACAACUUCUUUGCAAUUUUUAAACGUAAACAUUGAUAAGAAUUGAUAUUGUAUGAUAAAUCCUAAGGUAUAGGGCAAGUUUGUUUCAAUUGUUUAUGUAUGACUUUGUAUUUAAUAAUAUAGACUUUGUUCUUGAUGUUCAAGUCUUUCCUAUGCAUU
rnacentral:lncRNA from 1 species